CAGCUGGCAGAGAGCGAGUCAACCGCACUAGGACGGGCGGAGUGAAUCGGAAACAGACCAUUAUGUUUUUAUGUAACGUCAUUCACCAUAAGAUAUAAUCCAAGGCACAAUAAAUGCAUUCAGCAGAGGGUACAGAACAAGAAGCAAGAGAGUACAAAUAAGUAAGAAGCCAAACUACAAGUGCUUUAUUAAGAGCCAGGGCAUAAACAGUCGGGUUGUUGUUAAGGGGUUACGUUAGAUCUCUCUGAGGGAGCGACAAGCACCCUCCACGCGGGCUAACCGGGAGAGCGCUACGCCCCGGACGGGCUCUCCAGCUACUGCGGGACAUCAUGGACGGGAAUCUCCUUCAUCUCCAACGCCUGGGAAACACGCAGCAUUCCGUCCAGCAAGCAGCAUAGCAGCCUCUCAAAAGGCUAACACGCGAUCAAUGGGGAAUUUCAGAGAAUCACAACUGUUCCACUUCAACCGCGAUUCCUGGCUACCUUGGACAAGCACCACAGCAAGCUGAUUGAGAUUAUCAGAAACAAGGGGGGAGUUGUCAGAAUGAAGUCUCAGAAUAUACUGAAAGUGCUUGAUCAAAGCCUUGAGGUGAAUCUCAAAAGGGAGUGUCUGCUGAAGUGCAUCAUUCUGUACCUUGGGGAAGACGUGGAAAAGCUUAUCAAGGAGUAUCUGGUAACUAGUUUUGCAUUAAUCAAUUCAUUUCAAGAUUAGAUGAAGGAUUGGGAGUUUUUCCUGUGCCGAUGUGAGGGUUUCGGGACAGAGGAUGUUGCAUGUGUACAGACUGUAAAGCCCUCUGAGGCAAAUUUGUAAUUUGCGAUUUUGGGCUAUACAAAA